rnacentral:rRNA from 1 species
AACGAACGCUGGCGGCAGGCUUAACACAUGCGAGUCGAACGCCCCGCCAGGGGAGUGGCCGACGGGUGAGUAACGCGUGGGAACAUACCCUUUUCUACGGAAUAGCUCUGGGAAACUGGAAUUAAUACCGUAUACGCCCUACGGGGGAAAGAUUUAUCGGGGAAGGAUUGGCCCGCGUUGGAUUAGCUAGUUGGUGGGGUAAAGGCCUACCAAGGCGACGAUCCAUAGCUGGUCUGAGAGGAUGAUCAGCCACAUUGGGACUGAGACACGGCCCAAACUCCUACGGGAGGCAGCAGUGGGGAAUAUUGGACAAUGGGCGCAAGCCUGAUCCAGCCAUGCCGCGUGAGUGAUGAAGGCCUUAGGGUUGUAAAGCUCUUUCACCGAUGAAGAUAAUGACGGUAGUCGGAGAAGAAGCCCCGGCUAACUUCGUG